UUAAGUUCAGCGGGUAUCCCUACCUGAUCCGAGGUCAAAAGUUAGAAUUUGUACUUACUGGAUGCCAACAAUAAUUGACGAGAAGCGCAAAAUGUGCUGCGCUCCAAGGCCAAUAUGCCGGCUGCCAAUCGCUUUAAGGCGAGUCCACACGCAAAAGGCGGGACAAACACCCAACACCAAGCAGAGCUUGAGGGUACAAA
rnacentral:misc_RNA from 1 species